AGACAGCAGCCGCCGCGGGAAUACGUAGGUGGCAAGCGUUGUCCGGAAUUAUUGGGCGUAAAGGGCUCGCAGGCGGUUUCUUAAGUCUGAUGUGAAAGCCCCCGGCUCAACCGGGGAGGGUCAUUGGAAACUGGGAAACUUGAGUGCAGAAGAGGAGAGUGGAAUUCCACGUGUAGCGGUGAAAUGCGUAGAGAUGUGGAGGAACACCAGUGGCGAAGGCGACUCUCUGGUCUGUAACUGACGCUGAGGAGCGAAAGCGUGGGGAGCGAACAGGAUUAGAUACCCCAGUAGUCCCUGUCUCUUAUAC
rnacentral:rRNA from 1 species